rnacentral:rRNA from 1 species
UAGUCCACGCCGUAAACGUUGUAUACUAGGUGUUAGUGGCUUGACCACUAGUGCCGAAGCUAACGCAUUAAGUAUACCGCCUGGGGAGUACGCUCGCAAGGGUGAAACUCAAAGAAAUUGACGGGGCCCGCACAAGCGGUGGAGCAUGUGGUUUAAUUCGACGAUACGCGAAGAACCUUACCUGGGCUUGAACUGUACUUGACAGGUGUAGAGAUACACUCUCCUUCGGGCAAGUAUAGAGGUGCUGCAUGGUUGUCGUCAGCUCGUGUCGUGAGAUGUUGGGUUAAGUCCCGCAACGAGCGCAACCCUUGCCCUCUGUUGCUAUCAGAUAAUGCUGGGCACUCUGGGGGAACUGCCGGUGAUAAACCGGGNGGAAGGUGGGGAUGACGUCAAAUCAUCACGGGCCCUUAUGUCCAGGGGCUACACACGUGCUACAAUGGCCGGUACAAUGAGCUGCGAUACCGCGAGGGUGGGAGCCAAUCUACAAAAAACCGGGUCU